rnacentral:rRNA from 1 species
CAGCAUGAUCUAGCUUGCUAGAUUGAUGGCGAGUGGCGAACGGGUGAGUAAUACAUCGGAACGUGCCCUGUAGUGGGGGAUAACUAGUCGAAAGAUUAGCUAAUACCGCAUACGACCUGAGGGUGAAAGUGGGGGACCGCAAGGCCUCAUGCUAUAGGAGCGGCCGAUGUCUGAUUAGCUAGUUGGUGGGGUAAAGGCCCACCAAGGCGACGAUCAGUAGCUGGUCUGAGAGGACGAUCAGCCACACUGGGACUGAGACACGGCCCAGACUCCUACGGGAGGCAGCAGUGGGGAAUUUUGGACAAUGGGGGCAACCCUGAUCCAGCAAUGCCGCGUGUGUGAAGAAGGCCUUCGGGUUGUAAAGCACUUUUGUCCGGAAAGAAAUCGCACUUACUAAUAUUAGGUGUGGAUGACGGUACCGGAAGAAUAAGGACCGGCUAACUACGUGCCAGCAGCCGCGGUAAUACGUAGGGUCCAAGCGUUAAUCGGAAUUACUGGGCGUAAAGCGUGCGCAGGCGGUUGUGCAAGACCGAUGUGAAAUCCCCGGGCUUAACCUGGGAAUUGCAUUGGUGACUGCACGGCUAGAGUGUGUCAGAGGGGGGUAGAAUUCCACGUGUA